GGGUGAGGUAGAGGCGCGAUAUCUAUUAGUCUUUAGUGGAGCUUGAGAAACUAUGAAACUAUUGAGAAGGAGAUGUCGCCGAAGUUUGUAAUACACUCGAUGUUACUUGCUGGGUCUGUAGUUAAUAACUGCAGGACUGUCUCAAUGAACGUCCUAGUUCGUUGAGUUGAGCUAUCUCAUUU
rnacentral:ncRNA from 2 species